ensembl:snRNA U4 U4 spliceosomal RNA
AGCUUUGCGCAGUGGCAGUAUAGUAGCCUAUGAGGUUUAUCUGAGGCGCGAUUAUUGCUAGUUGAAAACUUUACUCAAAUGUAUCUAAUCUAUCCAUCCAGUCUGUGUUGUGUGAAAUUAGUGAGUGUUCUUACAGUUCCUUUGAA